UUUUCAUUCCGUUGUGUGAUUUUUUUCAGCACAAUGGAUUGGUUUCCUUUGGAAAGCUUGCUCCAGAUUGUAUACUGGAAGGUAUGAAUAUCAUUCAAUGUAGUAAAAGGAGGGAUGACCUCUUACAGAGUUCAUCACUGGGAUUUGCUCUGGAAAAAAGUCUGGAGAGGGUUUGGAGGAAGCUGACCCAGCAGCCACUCCCAGCACCAACCACUGACCAAGAGAUGCCUCUAUGAAGCCUAAUUCCUCACCUGGAGGAGAAGGUAAUUAAUCCAAGAGAAGUAACUAUCCGGAGCAGCAAACUGAGCACACCGUGAUGGCUCUUCCAUUCAGACUGUCAUAACCUGCUUGUGCCACAAAGCAUUAUUUCAUUUUAUCUGGAGGCAGCUGGACUGACAAUACAGUUACGCCAUUUCAGGAAGCUUUUAGAGAUCUGCAGUGUCAAGAAAGAACAAUUUGCGUUAUCUUCUUUAUUGUGUCUAUUACUUCUUCAAAAAAACAUCAUUUAACGUGCAAAUGGCAAAUAGAAGCAUUCUUGAAAUUUAUACUUGGUGCAGAUUUUAUGUCCUCUUCCUUCAAUCAUUGCUGAAAUUAGAAGGUUAAAAACAUUUUUGGAUGAUAAAG
ensembl:lncRNA